ensembl:misc_RNA Y_RNA Y RNA
AGCUGUCUGAAGGUAGUGAGUUAUUUCAAUUGAUUAUUCACAGUGAGUUACAGAUCCAACUACCUUGUUCUACUGUUUCUCUGCUUCUCAGUACUGCACUUGACUAAUUUUUU